GUUCUCACAUCAACAACACGUAUACAAAAAUUGGAAUGAUACAGAGAAGAUUAGCAUGGCCCCUGCACAAGGAUGACAUGCAAAUUCAUGAAGCAUUCCAUAUUUUU
rnacentral:snRNA from 1 species